AAGCGCCAAGCCCACCUUUGUGUGCUUGCAUCCAACUGUGAUAAGCCUAUGUAUGUCAAGUUGGUGAAGGCCCAUUGUGCUGAACACCAAAUCAACCUAAUCAAGGGUGACGACGACAAGAAACUAGGGGAAUGGGAAGGCCCCUGUACAAUUGACAGAGAGGGGAAACCCUGUAAAGUGGUUGGUUGCAGUUGUGCAGUAGUUAAGGACUAUGGAAGGAGUCUCAGGCCAAGGAUGUCAUCGAACAGUACUUCAAAUGCAAGAAAUGA
rnacentral:lncRNA from 1 species